AGGGAUGGGGGGGGAGGAUUUUUUUAACUGUGUAUGUUCAAACAAAUGAGCCCUGAUGAGAGGAUUGAGGGAUGGGGGGGAGGAUUUUUUAACUGUGUAUGUUCAAACAAAUGAGCCCUGAUGAGAGGAUUGAGGGAUGGGGGGGGGGGAUAUUUUUUUACAAACUGAUGUGUCCACUACAACAUUUUCAUUUUGUCCACAGAUACAUUAUGUAACAUGGGGCGUUCAAGUGGGCAUAGAUACACAUCUGGCAGGAGACAGCUUUGGACACUGGGCUAAACGGGUAAAACAAGCAGAAAUGUAGUGAAACAGAGUGGUAUAGCCAGCACCAAAGAAAGGGGGAGAAAUGUACACAACAGACGACAGGAAGUGAAGAAAGAAAGAAAGAAAUCGUAAGAGAAACAGAAGGCAGAGAAAGAGAGAAAACGAGAGGGUGAGAAACAGACUUUUCCCCCACACUCUCUAUUGACCCCUGACCCUGCUCUCAGUUGGACAGCCAGUGUGGCUGCUGGUCAGAGGGGGCAACGGUCACGCUGAGGGGAGGGAGUGAGCGGGUGAGGUUAGGAGUAUACGACCCCUCACCCACUACUCUGAGACUAAACUACUCUGAGACUAAACGAGAGAGAGAUUGUUUGAAGGAGAUGGUAUGCCUUAUCCUAAGCAGAAGUCCAAUCAUAUACAACGGGUGGAAUUCCUAUUUUUAGAGCCUAUACUCCAAGUCGAUACUCACAAAAUAAUAAGGAAUUCCCCUUGACCAUGCUCACUAAUUCGGGAAAACAAACAUUAUUUCCUAUUGACCCCCAUUGUAAAAGAGCCAACUUCGUCGCCGAAUUGUUUGUUAUACAGAAAUAACAAAACAUGCUGAAAAGCUGCUGUGUUGUUCAAUGUACAUGUAACAAGGUCAAAAGUCCCAACCUAUGGUUCACAAUGCUCCCACAUAGGGAAAUAGAGCCUGUGAGAAGAGCCCUGUGGCUACAGGCUAUUUGGGGACCCGGUGUCCAAGUAGGAUACGCAGAGCUAUGUGUGUGGAAAACAUUUCAUCACAGAGCAGGAAGUGAGUCAACAGGGUCAGGAGUAGGGGUCAACCUCAGAGGUCAAACCUGCCAGUCAAACUAGUCCAUGUUUGAAUUGAGGAUUAUGUUACCAGGAACCAUUAUUGCAAAACGACCAAAGUCAUCUGCUUCUUUUGUUUGUAAAAUGGUAGAUAGACAUUUUGGUUGAAAAUAAAUCAACCACACAUGAAAUUGUAAUGGUUUGGCAUCACAGAUAUGUACGUGUCAAUGUGUGUAACAGACUGACAGAGUGGUCCAGUUAAAUAUUAUAUUUCCUAGGGUACGGUUCAAUCUAUUCUCAUCAUAGCUUAACACACGCACAAACGCAUGCACACAUGCGUGCGCGCACACACACACAUACACCGUGUCAGGCAGGCUGGCCAGUUGGGGAUAUAAAGGCCAGUGUGGGGUUUCAAUCUACUGCAGGCUAGCACAGAACACUGAUGAUGUCAUCAGCACACAGCUGUCAGAAUCCCUCUCCACCCUGUGAGGUUCCAUCUCAGUGAGGAAGAGUGUGAGUGUGUGAAGUUAUGCAGACAACUGAUUGAACUGUACAUUUAGUAUUAGGAUAUUUAGCUGGAGAAUUCUCUCAGUCACACACACACACACACACACACACACACACACAUACACACACAGAGCGAGGUAGUGUUUGCUGUCAGAACCCCCAGGAGUGGACUGGCCUGAUCAAAGCUCCAGUCUGGAUCAGAUUCCUCUGCGUGA
rnacentral:lncRNA from 13 species